CCUACGGGUGGCAGCAGUGAGGAAUAUUGGACAAUGGGCGAAGGGCUGAACCAGCAAAGUCGCGUGAGGGAUGAAGGUCCUAGGGAUGGUAAACCUUUUUGGUCAGGGAGAAAAGGGCGCCACGUGUGGCGUUUUGCGAGGACCUGAAGAAAAAGCAUCGGCUAACUGCGUGCCAGGAGCCGCGGUAAUACGGAGGGUGUGAGCGUUGUCCGGAUUUAGUGGGUUUAAGGGGUGCGCAGGCGGAAUGUCAAGUCAGCGGUAAAAUGUCGGGGCUCAACCCCGUCGUGCCUUUGAAACUGGCGUUCUUGAGUGGGCGAGAAGUAGGCGGAAUCCG
rnacentral:rRNA from 1 species